UUUUUAGGGCUGCAUCUGCAGAUAUGGAAGUUCCCAGGAUAUAGGUCAAAUUGGAGCUAUAGCUGCUGGACUAUUCCACAGCCACAGAAAUGACAGAUCCUUAAUCCAUUGAGCAAGGCCAGGGAUCGAACCCACAUCCUUAUGGAUACUAGUUGGAUUCAUUACCUCUGAGCCACAUCAGGAACUCCAUGAAAAGACUACUCUUUUCUGGGAGCUCCCACUGUGGCUCAGCAGAAACAAAUCUGACUAGCAUCCAUGAGGACUUAGGUUUGAUCCCUGGUCUUGCUCAGUGGGUUAAGGAUCUGGCAUUGCUGUGAGCUGUGGUGUAGGUCACAGAUGCAGCUCGGAUCUGACGUUGCUGUGGCUGUGGUGUAAGCCAGAGGCUACAGCUCUGAUUCAACCCCUUUCCUGGGAACCUCCAUAUGCUGAGGAGGAAGCCCUAGAAAAAACAAAAAAACAAAAAGACUACUCUUUUCAAAAACCAUAUGAUAUCACUUGUGUGUGGAAAUGUAAAAUAUGGCACAAGUGAACCUAUCUACAAAACAGAAACAGACUCACAGAUGUAGAGAACAGACUUCUAGUUGCCAAGGGGGAGGGGAAGGGGGAGUGAGUGCGAUGGACUUGGAGUUUGGGGUUAGUAGAUGAAAAAUAUUACAUUUAGAAUGAGUAAGCAAAUGAACCCUACCGUAUAGCACAGAGAACCGUAUGAAUCUCUUGGGCUAGACCAUGAUGGAAGAUGAGAAAAAGAAUAUAUAUGUAUACACACACACACACAUAUAUAUGUCUGACGGGGUCACUUUGCUAUACAGCAGAAACUGGCACAACAUUGUAAAUCAACUUGAUCUUAUUUUAUGAUUUUAUUUUAUUAUUUUUGGUCUUUUUUGUCUUUUUAGAGCCGCACCCUCAGCAUAUGGACAUUCCCAGGCUAGGGAUCGAAUCAGCUACAGCUGCCAGUUUGCACCACAGCCAUGGCAAGGCCGGAUCCAAGCCAAGUCUGCGACCUACACCAGAGCGCACAGCAACAGCUCAUGGCAAGGCCGGAUCCUUAACCCACUGAGCGAGGCUGGGAUCGAACACGCAACUUCAUGGUUCCCAGUUGGAUUUGUUUCCACUGUGCCGCAACUGGAACUCCAAAAUCAACUAUAUUUUAAUUUAAAAAAAAAAAACACAGCUCUUUUCACAAGUCUUUAAUCAGUCUUUCUUUCCUGUGGGGCAGGUAACACCUCUAUCUCUAAUCUGGCCUGCUCGGAAGAUUGUCCUAGUCUAAUUCCACCUAGCUUUCUUAUUUUAUGUAUUUAAAGAACAAGGACACCGGAAGGGAGGAGGGAGAGGGACGUCUGUUUUCUUGAAAGCCCUGCUUUCCUGCUCUGAUUCCAAUUAGGCUUCCCCUAUUUCUGUGCUCUGCCUUCCCUCCUCCCAGCUUGCUCUCUUUUCUUCUCCUGAGCAACAAAUCACUAAUACUCACUUCUCAAAUACACUUUUCAAAACACAUGGAAGAAUCCGCAACCUCUGUGCCUCAGAGUCCAAUUGUUCUGCCCUCAAAAGCAGGGCAUACAGCUGUGCAUGCCGCGUGUUCUGAUCAUGGUGAGAGCUCUCUGCCUUCCAAACACUCACCUUCACUAAGCGUUGUUUCCGCAGCGAGGCAGGGUGCAGGGCACCAUCUGU
ensembl:lncRNA